UACGAAGGGGCUAGCGUUGCUCGGAAUUACUGGGCGUAAAGCGCACGUAGGCGGCUCUUUAAGUCGGGGGUGAAAUCCUGGAGCUCAACUCCAGAACUGCCUUCGAUACUGAAGAGCUCGAGUCCGGGAGAGGUGAGUGGAACUGCGAGUGUAGAGGUGAAAUUCGUAGAUAUUCGCAAGAACACCAGUGGCGAAGGCGGCUCACUGGCCCGGUACUGACGCUGAGGUGCGAAAGCGUGGGGAGCAACAGG
rnacentral:rRNA from 1 species